CAGGGUUUCACCGUGUUGGCCAAGCUGAUUUUGAACUCCUGACCUCAAGUGAUCCGCCCACCUCAGCCUCCCAAAGUGCUGGGAUUACAGGCAUGAGCCACCGUUCCUGGCCGAAACUUUUCUUUAGAUGCUCGUCAGACACUUGAGGUUCCUCAAAAAGAGAAACAUAAAAAGAACAAAGACAAGCACAAGGCCAAGAAAGAGCACAGGCGGAAGAAAGAGAAGAAAAAGAAACACAGGAAGCACAAACACAAAGGCAAGCAAAAGAAUAAAAAACCAGAGAAAAGUAGUAGCUCCGAGAGUUCCGACAGCAGCGACAGCCAGAGUGACGAGGAAACCGCAGACGUGUCGCCCCAGGAGCUGCUGAGACGGCUGAAAAGUCUUCCACUAAGAAGGCAGUAAUUGAAUGCUGCCCUGGCUCGUCCUAGAAUCAUUUCUCCUCCAUGAUGGAAGCCCAGUGAUUGUUCAGUUAACGCAUUGUACAGAGUGUAUUUAUAUGUAAAUUCCUGCUGUAAAAUAAUUUUUAAAACCUUGACAUUUCAAAGACUGCCUUGAAAGGUCGCAGAAAUUGAUUUCUAUUUUUAAUUUCAGUUAGUAUCGGGGGAAAAAAAUCCAGACUGAACAGUUUAAUUAAAGUGGAAUUUUUCUAUUUUCUUCUUGAUUUUUAAAAAAUUUCCUGGGACGUUAAAAAAGAAGUUAAAAGUGAAGGCUUCUCUCUGGUUUUGUGAUGAAGACAGCCUGGACUCACUGAAGGACAAGCGUGUGAGAAGGGGCGGUUGCGGCCCCUCCUGCCGUUUUUUGGGAGUGAAGCUCUUCCCUCUCUGGGUGGCUGGGUUACUGUUGGUGCCCAGGAAGCCCCAUGGGAGGGCAGAGCCAGGGCCUGGCAGGGGGCCUCAGCCUCUCA
rnacentral:lncRNA from 10 species